rnacentral:pre_miRNA from 1 species
AAUAAACGAAUUUCUGAGUUCCGAUGAAAUUUUUGACUCUUCGUCUUAUUUGAAAAUUUUUUAUGAUUAAUAUUUUUAUUGUUGCUACGUGAUAAAACAUGAAUAGUACUUUACAUGUGACUAUUUUUUUAAAUUUUUUAAUAAAUUAUUUAAAUAAGAUGGAUGGUCAAACGUUCCAGCUAAAAAACCCAG